UACGGGGGGGCAAGCGUUGUUCGGAAUUACUGGGCGUAAAGGGCUCGUAGGCGGCCAACUAAGUCAUACGUGAAAUCCCUCAGCUUAACUGGGGAACUGCGUGUGAUACUGGAUGGCUUGGAUUUGGGAGAGGGAUGCGGAAUUCCAGGUGUAGCGGUGAAAUGCGUAGAUAUCUGGAGGAACACCGGUGGCGAAGGCGGCAUCCUGGACCAAUAUUGACGCUGAGGAGCGAAAGCUAAGGGGAGCAAAGCUGGGGAUUAAGA
rnacentral:rRNA from 1 species